rfam:Gordonia araii NBRC 100433 DNA, contig: GOARA019.
CAUCGGCGCCCGCCAACCGUUUGGCGGCACCGAGCAGACGAGAGGGAAUCCGGUGCGAAUCCGGAACUGACCCCGCAGCGGUGAAUCGGAAACGACCACUGUCAACGCACUGGGCCCCGCCUGGGAAGCGACAGUCAGUAGGUGCGGUCUAUGCGACCGCGUGCCGAUGAGUCCGAAGACCUGCCAGUUGUACCGGGCACGC